GUACACUCCUGCGGGAGGCAGCAGUGGGGAAUAUUGCACAAUGGGCGCAAGCCUGAUGCAGCCAUGCCGCGUGUAUGAAGAAGGCCUUCGGGUUGUAAAGUACUUUCAGCGGGGAGGAAGGCGAUAAGGUUAAUAACCUUGUUGAUUGACGUUACCCGCAGAAGAAGCACCGGCUAACUCCGUGCCAGCAGCCGCGGUAAUACGGAGGGUGCAAGCGUUAAUCGGAAUUACUGGGCGUAAAGCGCACGCAGGCGGUCUGUCAAGUCGGAUGUGAAAUCCCCGGGCUCAACCUGGGAACUGCAUUCGAAACUGGCAGGCUAGAGUCUUGUAGAGGGGGGUAGAAUUCCAGGUGUAGCGGUGAAAUGCGUAGAGAUCUGGAGGAAUACCGGUGGCGAAGGCGGCCCCCUGGACAAAGACUGACGCUCAGGUGCGAAAGCGUGGGGAGCAAACAGGAUUAGAAACCCGUGUAGUCCCAU
rnacentral:rRNA from 1 species